GCUUUAUAACAUCUUGUUACAUUGCAUUUUACUUGUAUGUAGAUGGACAAUAGCAUGGAUUCCUUUGAAGAGGACGAGGUCACUGCUAUGGAGGACAUGAGAGAGAUGCUACGGAUGUUUGAGGAAGAAAGAAGAGAAGAUGGACUGAAGAUGCUUGAAUGCUAUGAUGAAGACGGCAAGGAGGAUUCUGAGGACGG